rnacentral:rRNA from 1 species
UACGUAGGGUGCAAGCGUUAAUCGGAAUUACUGGGCGUAAAGCGUGCGCAGGCGGUUUUGUAAGUUUGUCGUGAAAGCCCCGGGCUCAACCUGGGAAUUGCGAUGAAGACUGCAAGGCUUGAAUCUGGCAGAGGGGGGUAGAAUUCCACGUGUAGCAGUGAAAUGCGUAGAGAUGUGGAGGAACACCGAUGGCGAAGGCAGCCCCCUGGGUCAAGAUUGACGCUCAUGCACGAAAGCGUGGGGAGCAAACAG